GAUGAACGUUAGCUACAGGCUUAACACAUGCAAGUCGAGGGGCAGCAUCAUCAAAGCUUGCUUUGAUGGAUGGCGACCGGCGCACGGGUGAGUAACACGUAUCCAACCUGCCGACAACACUGGGAUAGCCUUUCGAAAGAAAGAUUAAUACCGGAUGGCAUAGUUUUCCCGCAUGGGAUAAUUAUUAAAGAAUUUCGGUUGUCGAUGGGGAUGCGUUCCAUUAGGCAGUUGGCGGGGUAACGGCCCACCAAACCUACGAUGGAUAGGGGUUCUGAGAGGAAGGUCCCCCACAUUGGAACUGAGACACGGUCCAAACUCCUACGGGAGGCAGCAGUGAGGAAUAUUGGUCAAUGGACGAGAGUCUGAACCAGCCAAGUAGCGUGAAGGAUGACUGCCCUAUGGGUUGUAAACUUCUUUUAUACGGGAAUAAAGUUAGCCACGUGUAGUUUUUUGUAUGUACCGUAUGAAUAAGGAUCGGCUAACUCCGUGCCAGCAGCCGCGGUAAUACGGAGGAUCCGAGCGUUAUCCGGAUUUAUUGGGUUUAAAGGGAGCGUAGGCGGGUUGUUAAGUCAGUUGUGAAAGUUUGCGGCUCAACCGUAAAAUUGCAGUUGAUACUGGCGACCUUGAGUGCAACAGAGGUAGGCGGAAUUCGUGGUGUAGCGGUGAAAUGCUUAGAUAUCACGAAGAACUCCGAUUGCGAAGGCAGCUUACUGGAUUGUAACUGACGCUGAUGCUCGAAAGUGUGGGUAUCAGACAGGAUUAGAUACCCUGGUAGUCCACACAGUAAACGAUGAAUACUCGCUGUUGGCGAUAUACGGUCAGCGGCCAAGCGAAAGCAUUAAGUAUUCCACCUGGGGAGUACGCCGGCAACGGUGAAACUCAAAGGAAUUGACGGGGGCCCGCACAAGCGGAGGAACAUGUGGUUUAAUUCGAUGAUACGCGAGGAACCUUACCCGGGCUUAAAUUGCAACUGACGGAAUCGGAAACGGUUCUUUCUUCGGACAGUUGUGAAGGUGCUGCAUGGUUGUCGUCAGCUCGUGCCGUGAGGUGUCGGCUUAAGUGCCAUAACGAGCGCAACCCCUACGGGUAGUUACCAUCAGGUUAUGCCGGGGACUCUACCCGGACUGCCGUCGUAAGAUGUGAGGAAGGUGGGGAUGACGUCAAAUCAGCACGGCCCUUACGUCCGGGGCUACACACGUGUUACAAUGGGGGGUACAGAAGGCAGCUACACGGCGACGUGGUGCUAAUCCCAAAAGCCUCUCUCAGUUCGGAUUGGAGUCUGCAACCCGACUCCAUGAAGCUGGAUUCGCUAGUAAUCGCGCAUCAGCCACGGCGCGGUGAAUACGUUCCCGGGCCU
rnacentral:rRNA from 1 species